GCAAGUCGAACGAGAAAGCACUUCGGUGUGAGUACAGUGGCGCACGGGUGAGUAACGCGUCGGUGAUAUGCCCAUUAGUGGGGGACAAGAGUUGGAAACGGCUGCUAAUACCGCAUAAGCUUGGUGACAUUGAAAAAACCAAGGAAAGGGGGCUUCGGCUCUCGCUAGUAGAUUGGCCUGCGGAGCAUUAGCUUGUUGGUGGGGUAAUGGCCUACCAAGGCGACGAUGCUUAGCUGGUCUGAGAGGGUGAUC
rnacentral:rRNA from 1 species